UAUAAUAAUGUAACAUUUUUACUAAUAUUCAAAAGCAAUUUUUUCAUGAAUCCAUAAUUAAUAUUUAUGAUAAAUUUCUAGGUCAAUGUUAUUUUGCUUUCCUCCUACUAUUGGAUUAUAGAUUUCAUAUUUAGAUGUGUAUUUAUCAUUCAUUGUUUUUUUGUUUGUCUGUCAUAUUAAUUUUUUUUUUUUCAUAUAGUUCGGUAAAUGGGCUUCAUGAUAAUUGGUUGACAUUGGCUCUGUAAGAAAAAUUAACCAAUCCAUACAUCACCAAUGCCUCACCUACUAAAACGAUACUAUUGUGUCUGUAACGUGUGAUGGGCCGGUUUGCGUGGUUAAUAAAGGUUGUGGGUUCAAUUCACACCCAGGCCAGACCUUUGUGUGCAUGAACAUGUUUGUUUGUCCUGAGUCUGGGUGUAAUUAUCUAUAUAAAGAUGUUUUUACAAAAGAAAAGUAGUAUAUGUAGUAUAAGGUAGUCACCAAAUUCCGUCCCGAGCUUAAUUUCGUCCCCAGCUGUAAUCUUUUUCUAAAUAACGCCAUCUAAUUUUAAUACGUCAAAUCUAAAGUUAGUUAUGUCAGUCGGCCUUUUUAAAAGUUUGACGGUGAAACGUAGCUCCUGGCGCAAGAUAUUUAAAAAAAGAAAAAACUGUCCCAGAUGCCUAAGAAAAAGCCAUGGGAUCCCUUGGCAAUGAAAAAAGUCGUUGAAGCUGUCCGAACUAAAGAAAUGGGGUAUAAAGGCAAUGACUUCAACGCAUAAACAAGAAAUAAUAGAUGCGGAAAAGAAAAAGAUGAAAGAAAAACAGGAAAAAAAGGGUUAGAAAUUUAAAGAAAAAUACGACAGGAAGCAACAAAAAAAACUAUAGAGAGAUGUAAGAAUCUAUCUUCUGGCAAGGACAUGUCUGAAGCAGACCCAAUUUCAGUUUCUAUAGACGAAAAAAAUAGUGACAACUAUGACGUUGAAUUCCCAGUAUGUCCGAAAAGAUUUUCUCAAGAUACAAAGAGAGAGAAAUGAAUAAGAUGCACAAAAUGUUCCCAAUGGAUAGAGAGAGUACUAAUUUUUGUGAUCUCAAUAUCGUCCACGGGACGUAAUUAGAUGUCUAAAAAAAUAUUCUCAGAAUUUAUAGUUUUUUGUUAAAGCUAUUUUUGUAGAAAAAGUAACAUAGUUAAGAAGUUUUUGAGUAUUCCAAAUAAUAGAGAUGUUUCA